UAACCUGAAACUGCUGGGAUGGACAAAGAGCAACUAAGAACAUGACCAAAACACAACCAAACUAAACCGCAGAUCCCUUACAGUGACAAGAAUGACCAGGAGCCAUAGAUGAUGGAGGCUACAGUAAUUAUACAACAUCACCAAUGUACAGGAUGACUGGACUGACUGUCAAACUCACCGUCAUACACGUGUCUCUGUUUGCAGCAGGUUGUCGUCUUCAGUUCAACAGUGUUGAAGUGCUUGCCUCUGCUGGAAACUGCUGGUUUAAAACCAGUCUUUGGCAUCCUCUUAUGAACCACCA